rnacentral:rRNA from 1 species
GACGAACGCUGGCGGCGUGCUUAACACAUGCAAGUCGAACGAGGAUUAGGGAGCUUGCUCCCUAAAGCCGAGUGGCGGACUGGUGAGUAACACGUGACCAACCUAUCUCGCGGAGAGGGACAACCCGAGGAAACUUGGGCUAAUACCGCAUAAUGUCCGAACCUCGCAUGGGGUUCAGACCAAAGGGGGCCUCUGCUUGCAAGCUCCCACCGUGAGAGGGGGUCGCGACGUAUCAGCUUGUUGGUGAGGUAACGGCUCACCAAGGCUACGACGCGUAGCGGGUCUGAGAGGACGACCCGCCACAUUGGGACUGAGAUACGGCCCAG